rnacentral:rRNA from 1 species
AUUGAACGCUGGCGGAAUGCUUUACACAUGCAAGUCGAACGGCAGCACGGGGGCAACCCUGGUGGCGAGUGGCGAACGGGUGAGUAAUACAUCGGAACGUGCCCAGUCGUGGGGGAUAACGUAGCGAAAGCUACGCUAAUACCGCAUACGAUCUACGGAUGAAAGCGGGGGAUCGCCAGACCUCGCGCGAUUGGAGCGGCCGAUGGCAGAUUAGGUAGUUGGUGGGGUAAAGGCUCACCAAGCCGACGAUCUGUAGCCGGUCUGAGAGGACGACCAGCCACACUGGGACUGAGACACGGCCCAGACUCCUACGGGAGGCAGCAGUGGGGAAUUUUGGACAAUGGGCGCAAGCCUGAUCCAGCCAUUCCGCGUGCAGGAUGAAGGCCUUCGGGUUGUAAACUGCUUUUGUACGGAACGAAACGGCCCUCUCUAAUACAGGGGGCUAAUGACGGUACCGUAAGAAUAAGCACCGGCUAACUACGUGCCAGCAGCCGCAGUAACAC